GACGAAGGAUGCAAGCGUUAUCCGGAUUCAUUGGGUUUAAAGGGAGCGUAGGUGGCCUUAUAAGUCAGUGGUGAAAUCCCCGGGCUUAACCUGGGAAUUGCAUUUGUGACUGCACGGCUAGAGUGUGUCAGAGGGGGGUAGAAUUCCACGUGUAGCAGUGAAAUGCGUAGAUAUGCGGAGGAACACCGAUGGCGAAGGCAAUCCCCUGGGCCUGCACUGACGCUCAUGCACGAAAGCGUGGGGAGCGAAACAAGGA
rnacentral:rRNA from 1 species